AAAAAAGGUAAGCUACUAAGAGCGAAUGGUGGAUGCCUUGACUGGUAAAGGCGAUGAAGGACGUACUAGACUGCGAUAAGCUACGGGGAGCUGUCAAGAAGCUUUGAUCCGUAGAUUUCCGAAUGGGGCAACCCAAUGUAUAGAGAUAUACAUUACCUAUAUAGGAGCGAACGAGGGGAAUUGAAACAUCUUAGUACCCUCAGGAAAAGAAAUCAAUAGAGAUUGCGUCAGUAGCGGCGAGCGAAAGCGCAAGAGGGCAAACCCAGUGCUUGCACUGGGGGUUGUAGGACUGCAAUGUGCAAGAGGUAAGUUUAGCAGAACAUUCUGGAAAGUAUAACCAUAGAGGGUGAUAGUCCCGUAUGCGAAAAACAAACCUUAGCUAGCAGUAUCCUGAGUAGGGCGGGACACGAGGAAUCCUGUCUGAAUCUGGGUCGACCACGAUCCAACCCUAAAUACUAAUACCAGAUCGAUAGUGCACAAGUACCGUGAGGGAAAGGUGAAAAGAACUGAGGUGAUCAGAGUGAAAUAGAACCUGAAACCAUUUGCUUACAAUCAUUCAGAGCCCUAUGUAGCAAUACAGGGUGAUGGACUGCCUUUUGCAUAAUGAGCCUGCGAGUUGUGGUGUCUGGCAAGGUUAAGCAAACGCGAAGCCGUAGCGAAAGCGAGUCUGAAUAGGGCGCUUAGUCAGAUGCUGCAGACCCGAAACGAAGUGAUCUAUCCAUGAGCAAGUUGAAGCUAGUGUAAGAACUAGUGGAGGACUGAACCCAUAGGCGUUGAAAAGCCCCGGGAUGACUUGUGGAUAGGGGUGAAAGGCCAAUCAAACUUCGUGAUAGCUGGUUCUCUCCGAAAUAUAUUUAGGUAUAGCGUUGUGUCGUAAUAUAAGGGGGUAGAGCACUGAAUGGGCUAGGGCAUACACCAAUGUACCAAACCCUAUCAAACUCCGAAUACCUUAUAUGUAAUCACAGCAGUCAGGCGGCGAGUGAUAAAAUCCGUCGUCAAGAGGGAAACAACCCAGACUACCAGCUAAGGUCCCUAAAUCUUACUUAAGUGGAAAACGAUGUGAAGUUACUUAAACAACCAGGAGGUUGGCUUAGAAGCAGCCAUCCUUUAAAGAAAGCGUAAUAGCUCACUGGUCUAGUGAUUUUGCGCGGAAAAUAUAACGGGGCUAAAGUAAGUACCGAAGCUGUAGACUUGCGCACAACUUAGAUUAUUUAAGUUUAGAAUAUGAGAAACUAAGUUAUAUGUUUAGUUAUAUUUUUACUGAUUUUUAUAGAGUAAAGAUAGAAAUAAAACUUAGUAAAAUCAGUAAAAAUAUUCUUAGACUAAAGUUAAGUAGUUUAAGUUGUGUGCAAGUGGUAGGAGAGCGUUCUAUUUGCGUCGAAGGUAUACCGGUAAGGAGUGCUGGAGCGAAUAGAAGUGAGCAUGCAGGCAUGAGUAGCGAUAAUUAAUGUGAGAAUCAUUAACGCCGUAAACCCAAGGUUUCCUACGCGAUGCUCGUCAUCGUAGGGUUAGUCGGGUCCUAAGUCGAGUCCGAAAGGGGUAGACGAUGGCAAAUUGGUUAAUAUUCCAAUACCAACAUUAGUGUGCGAUGGAAGGACGCUUAGGGCUAAGGGGGCUAGCGGAUGGAAGUGCU
rnacentral:rRNA from 1 species